rnacentral:rRNA from 1 species
GACGUAGGGCGCGAGCGUUGUCCGGAUUUAUUGGGCGUAAAGAGCUCGUAGGCGGCUUGUCGCGUCGACUGUGAAAUCCCGCGGCUCAACCGCGGGUCUGCAGUCGAUACGGGCAGGCUAGAGUUCGGUAGGGGAGACUGGAAUUCCUGGUGUAGCGGUGAAAUGCGCAGAUAUCAAGUGGAACACCAGUGGCGAAGGCGAGUCUCUGGACAUUUCCUGACGCUGAGGCACGAAAGCCAGGGGAGCAAACGGG